AUUUAGAGUUUGAUCCUAGCUCAGGAUGAACGCUGGCGGCGUGGAUGAGGCAUGCAAGUCAAACGGGCUCAUUUUGUGUAGCAAUACACGUUAUGAAUCAGUGGCAGACGAGGUAGUAACACGUAGGGACGCACCCAGAAGUCUGGUAUAGCUUCGCGAAAGCGGGGGUAAUCCCAGAUGUGGUAGAAAUACCAAAGGAGCAAUUCGCUUCUGGAGCGACCUGCGGAGUAUCAGCUAGUUGGUAGGGUAACGGCCUACCAAGGCAAUGACGCUUAGGGGACCUGAGAGGGUGACCCCCACCGAUGGAACUGAGACACGGUCCAUACACCUACGGGUGGCAGUAGCCGAGAAUAUUCGACAAUGGGCGAAAGCCUGAUCGAGCGACGCCGCGUGAUGGAUGAAGUCCCUAGGGACGUAAACAUCUUUUAUGGAGGGGUAUUGAUAGUACUUCAUGAAUAAGGGGUUGCUAAACUCGUGCCAGCAGCAGCGGUAAUACGAGUACCCCAAGCGUUAUCCGGAAUCAUUGGGCGUAAAGGGUGUGUAGGCGGUAUGGUUAGUCUUCUGUCAAAAUCUCGGGCUCAACCCGAGACCUGCGGAGGAAACGGCCAAACUUGAGGGUGCGAGAGGUGAAUGGAACUCAUGGAGUAGGGGUGAAAUCCGUUGAUAUCAUGGGGAACACCGAAAGCGAAGGCAAUUCACUGGCGCAUUUCUGACGCUGAAACACGAAAGCGUGGGUAGCGAACGGGAUUAGAUACCCCGGUAGUCCACGCCCUAAACGAUGAUCACUAGCUUUUCGGAGUAUCAACCCUCUGAGAGGCGAAGCUAACGCGUUAAGUGAUCCGCCUGGGUAGUACGGCCGCAAGGCUAAAACUCAAAGGAAUAGACGGGGACUUGCACAAGCAGUGGAUUAUGCGGUUUAAUUCGAUGUUGAACGAAGAACCUUACCAGGGUUAGAAAUCUAGGUGAACCCCGACAGAAACGUCGGGGGUCCGCAAGGACAGUUAGACAGGUGAUGCAUGGCCGUCGUCAGUUCGUGAUUUGAAUUGUUCCCUUAAGUGGGGUAACGAACGCAACCCUCGUUGCCAGUUACAAGUGUCUGGCGAGACUGCCCCCUCUCCAGUUUUGGAAAUUUCCAAAACUGCAAAACUGGAGAGGGGGAGGAAGGCGAGGAUGACGCCAGGUCAGCAUGUCCCUUGAUACCCUGGGCUACACGCAUAAUACAAUCGCCGCUACAACAGGUUGCGACGGAGUAAUCCUGAGCCAAUCCUAAGAAAAGCGGCGCCAGUUCGGAUAGGGGGCUGCAACUCGACCCCUUGAAGCCGGAAUUGCUAGUAAUCGCGGGUCAGCUAUACCGCGGUGAAUACGUUCUCAAGUCUUGUAC
rnacentral:rRNA from 1 species